ensembl:snRNA U6 U6 spliceosomal RNA
GUGCUCACUUUGGCAGCACAUAUACUAAAAUUGGAAUGAUACAUGGCCCUUGUGCAAGAAUGACAUGUACAUUCAUGAAGCAGUCCAUAUAUAU